rnacentral:pre_miRNA from 1 species
GAUUUCAAAUGGAAAUAUGGUCAAAAACAAAGUUGAUCCUCUCAUCAGGAUCUACAAAUUUUAUUUUGGUCACUCCUUCAUCCGACAAUGUGAUAGUUAUACUAUUCACAAUAAUCACAUUUCUCUCAUCUGGUUUAUAAAUAUCAACACGCAGAUAUGUCAAUUUUGUAAACAAUGGUAGUAUCACUUUGUCGGAUGAAGAAGUGACCAAAAUAAAAGUUGUAGAUCCUGAUGGGAGGAUCAACUUUGUUUUUGACCAUAUUUCCAUUUGAAAUC